rnacentral:misc_RNA from 1 species
CAUGGAUGAAGCAUCCUCAAAACAAAUGGACUGCAUAUGGUAUAAGAGAAAGCAUUCUUCCAAAUCGGUAUAGUACCAGGCUUCAACUUUAAACAAAGCAGCAAAAGCUAGAUAUUCUCUUUCAGUGCAUGAAAUAACCAGGAAAAACACACUAUAGGCCACAAAAUGCUAAUUUUAUAUACAGAAUUUGCAAUAAGCUUUCCGAAUUCACAACUUUAUUCCUCGUGAAAUAAACACCACACAGCGUUUAGCAAUCAGUUUGGGAACACACAAGUUGUGACACCAAACUGACUGUUUCAGGCUGAUAUAUAAUGUUCUUAGGCAGUUGUUUUCACUUUUAAGUACCUACCUGUAACUUAGACCAAGCUGAUCAUCCAAACUGAAUUCCACCUUCAUAGCUGUGUUCUCACUCCAUCUCACUUGAGUUCAGCUCUGAUCCAACACCAUUGAGCUCCACUGAACUCCCUGAUUCAGAUAUUUUUGUUGUCCUUUGCAACUCAUCUGUUACAACUGUUGAAAGAGACACAGACUGAUCCUCUGCCAACUGUUCUUUCUGAACUGAUGAUUUUGGCCGUCGAAUGGCUUCUUUCUGCUGCUUCAGGCAUUGCAACAGGGGGAGGUUGGGGAGGAACCCAAGUACGCUGAAUUGGUUGUUCAUUAGUUCGUGCACCAUAAGGUCCAGCCUUGAUUUCAUCUUCAUUUUCAAUCUCUGUGAUCCUGGCAUUUUUCCGCUGCCACCAAGGCGUAGCACUCUCGCCAUCAAAAUGAUAUGUCACCCCAUUGUCUUGUACCUUGGAAUUUAAAGGUUCUCCAUUUACUUGAGGCUGGAGUACUUGGCCUGAAUUGUUUAGGGAAUGACCAGCCUCCCAAGGCUUAUUCCUUGGUGCUAAGCGAGUAUUUGAAAUUUUCUGGUUAGGGUUGGGUGGUUGAUCAUUGAUAUCUCUGAUGUUAGC